UGCGGGCGGCGCGCUGCGGGAGCCGGCGGUAGGGGGCCCUGUUGAGCCUUCCGAGCCAGCCGACCGCGGCCUCUAACGCCCAGCGCCGCAGACCAGCCGGCGGCUUGACCUCCCGGGAGACUGAGGCCGAGUGUUGCACUUCCACCGCUGGAGGCCUGACACUUGGGCGCUGAGUAGUGAGGAGACUGGAUUGUGUAGACCCCUCCCCUUCACCCCAACCCACCGCCCCCAAACUGUGGCCUCUAUUAUGAGGCCCUUUGUGACCACUUCCUGGAGCCGGGCUGGAGAGGCCUGGGGAGCUGGAGUCUGAGAAGACGGAACGCCUGGCAUAGGGGUAGCGUUUCCUCUGAAACUAGCUGCCUCGAACUAAUAGAUUACCCUGAAUCCUCUCCCCCACAUAGGAACCUUAAGCUUAACCCCUACAUUUUGUCCUACAGCAUGGCAGGAGAUGAAGAGAAAAAAUGAAUUUUACGUCAAAUUCCUUUUUGCAACCUCCACUUACUAAUUACUUCCUGCUGGGCAUGAGUGAUGAAAAGAAGAAUAAGUAAUCUUUACACCCAAUGUGGGGCUCGAACUCACGACCCUGAGAUGAAGAAUCAUGCUCCAAUGACUGAGCCUGCCAGGUGCCCUAGUCUGUGAGCCUUUUUAUUCUGUGACUUCUGGGAUGACUUCCUGGUACUGCACCAGCAGGCUACUAUAGCAUCAAGGUCAUUCCCCACACCACAACCCAGCUCUGACUUGACCAGGUAUACUCUGCGAUAGAACUUCAUUGCUCUUUCCCAGCUCAGUGCUGGGCAAGCUCCUUAGGAAUCUCAAACUACUUGGAGGACUAGCCUUUCUUAUGGUGCUGCAAGGAGAGCAUGGGGCUUCUCAUGCCAGGCCAUGGUCCCAGAGCUUGGGAGAAGCUGACUCUCAGACUGAAUGUCAGAGCUCAGCACCUUAUCAUCAUGCCAAGGACCUGAUGAAGCAGAACAAUUACAACAAAGGAGUUUUGGCAUUUCAGAGUCACAUGGCCUCCAGACACUGGUAGUUUGUGAGUCGCUAAGGAACCAGAGCAUCGGAGAACACAGGCCAGGACUUCGUCUCAGCAUGUGGGAAUUUUUCCACUCCAGCAAGAGCAAGCCGAGAAAAAAGCAGAACUGCAUGUGGGGAGAAGAGGAAAGAGCAAGGCUUCCUGACCCAGAGCUGCAUCUACUCUCUUCAGAAAUACCUGGGAGCUGGGGUGGGGCCCGGACUCGGUUGGAGUGACAAGUGUGGACUGAUCAGUGUCA